GCUUGAAGGAGGUGGGGCUCAUAGAGGUGAUCUAAUGCUUGCUACUUGGGUUGGGACUCAAGCUGAUGAUUCAUUCCCUGAAGCCUGGAAAACCGACACUGCCGAUAAUCCUGCUUCUAAAUCUAAGGUAUAUCAAUCUCCUAAAUUGUGGUAUUUGAGAUCAUCAGUGAUAGAGGCACAAGACAUUUCCCACUCAAAGGAUUCAU
rnacentral:misc_RNA from 1 species